GAUGAAGAACGCAGCGAAAUGCGAUACGUAAUGUGAAUUGCAGAAUUCAGUGAAUCAUCGAGUCUUUGAACGCACAUUGCGCCCUCUGGUAUUCCGGAGGGCAUGCCUGUCCGAGCGUCAUUGCUGCCCUCAAGCACGGCUUGUGUGUUGGGCCCCGCCCCCCGAUCCCGGGGGGCGGGCCCGAAAGGCAGCGGCGGCACCGCGUCCGGUCCUCGAGCGUAUGGGGCUUUGUCACCCGCUCUGUAGGCCCGGCCGGCGCCUGCCGAUCAACCAAACUUUUUUCCAGGUUGGCCUCGGAUCAGGUAGGGAUACCCGCUGAACUUAAGCAUAUCAAUAAGCGGAGGA
rnacentral:misc_RNA from 1 species